rnacentral:rRNA from 1 species
AGACCCGAAACCCGGUGAUCUAGCCAUGGGCAGGUUGAAGGUUGGGUAACACUAACUGGAGGACCGAACCGACUAAUGUUGAAAAAUUAGCGGAUGACCUGUGGCUGGGGGUGAAAGGCCAAUCAAACCGGGAGAUAGCUGGUUCUCCCCGAAAGCUAUUUAGGUAGCGCCUCGUGAAUUCAUCUCCGGGGGUAGAGCACUGUUUCGGCUAGGGGGCCAUCCCGGCUUACCAACCCGAUGCAAACUGCGAAUACCGGAGAAUGUUAUCACGGGAGACACACGGCGGGUGCUAACGUCCGUCGUGAAGAGGGAAACAACCCAGACCGCCAGCUAAGGUCCCAAAGUCAUGGUUAAGUGGGAAACGAUGUGGGAAGGCCCAGACAGCCAGGAUGUUGGCUUAGAAGCAGCCAUCAUUUAAAGAAAGCGUAAUAGCUCACUGGUCGAGUCGGCCUGCGCGGAAGAUGUAACGGGGCUAAACCAUGCACCGAAGCUGCGGCAGCGACACUAUGUGUUGUUGGGUAGGGGAGCGUUCUGUAAGCCGUUGAAGGUGUCCUGUGAGGGAUGCUGGAGGUAUCAGAAGUGCGAAUGCUGACAUAAGUAACGAUAAAGCGGGUGAAAAGCCCGCUCGCCGGAAGACCAAGGGUUCCUGUCCAACGUUAAUCGGGGCAGGGUGAGUCGACCCCUAAGGCGAGGCCGAAAGGCGUAGUCGAUGGGAAACGGGUUAAUAUUCCCGUACUUGGUGUUACUGCGAAGGGGGGACGGAGAAGGCUAUGUUGGCCGGGCGACGGUUGUCCCGGUUUAAGCGUGUAGGUGUGUGUUCCAGGUAAAUCCGGUUCACUUUAACACUGAGGCGUGACGACGAGGCACUACGGUGCUGAAGCAACAAAUGCCCUGCUUCCAGGAAAAGCCUCUAAGCAUCAGGUAACAUCAAAUCGUACCCCAAACCGACACAGGUGGUCAGGUAGAGAAUACCAAGGCGCUUGAGAGAACUCGGGUGAAGGAACUAGGCAAAAUGGUGCCGUAACUUCGGGAGAAGGCACGCUGACACGUAGGUGAAGUGAUUUACUCACGGAGCUGAAGUCAGUCGAAGAUACCAGCUGGCUGCAACUGUUUAUUAAAAACACAGCACUGUGCAAACACGAAAGUGGACGUAUACGGUGUGACGCCUGCCCGGUGCCGGAAGGUUAAUUGAUGGGGUCAGCGCAAGCGAAGCUCCUGAUCGAAGCCCCGGUAAACGGCGGCCGUAACUAUAACGGUCCUAAGGUAGCGAAAUUCCUUGUCGGGUAAGUUCCGACCUGCACGAAUGGCGUAAUGAUGGCCAGGCUGUCUCCACCCGAGACUCAGUGAAAUUGAACUCGCUGUGAAGAUGCAGUGUACCCGCGGCAAGACGGAAAGACCCCGUGAACCUUUACUAUAGCUUGACACUGAACAUUGAGCCUUGAUGUGUAGGAUAGGUGGGAGGCUUUGAAGCGUGGACGCCAGUCUGCGUGGAGCCGACCUUGAAAUACCACCCUUUAAUGUUUGAUGUUCUAACGUGGACCCGUAAUCCGGGUUGCGGACAGUGUCUGGUGGGUAGUUUGACUGGGGCGGUCUCCUCCUAAAGAGUAACGGAGGAGCACGAAGGUUGGCUAAUCCUGGUCGGACAUCAGGAGGUUAGUGCAAUGGCAUAAGCCAGCUUGACUGCGAGCGUGACGGCGCGAGCAGGUGCGAAAGCAGGUCAUAGUGAUCCGGUGGUUCUGAAUGGAAGGGCCAUCGCUCAACGGAUAAAAGGUACUCCGGGGAUAACAGGCUGAUACCGCCCAAGAGUUCAUAUCGACGGCGGUGUUUGGCACCUCGAUGUCGGCUCAUCACAUCCUGGGGCUGAAGUAGGUCCCAAGGGUAUGGCUGUUCGCCAUUUAAAGUGGUACGCGAGCUGGGUUUAGAACGUCGUGAGACAGUUCGGUCCCUAUCUGCCGUGGGCGCUGGAGAACUGAGGGGGGCUGCUCCUAGUACGAGAGGACCGGAGUGGACGCAUCACUGGUGUUCGGGUUGUCAUGCCAAUGGCACUGCCCGGUAGCUAAAUGCGGAAGAGAUAAGUGCUGAAAGCAUCUAAGCACGAAACUUGCCCCGAGAUGAGUUCUCCCUGAGACUACGAGUCUCCUGAAGGAACGUUGAAGACGACGACGUUGAUAGGCCGGGUGUGUAAGCGCAGCGAUGCGUUGAGCUAACCGGUACUAAUGAACCGUGAGGCUUAACCUUACAA